UUUGAUUUCUUGAUGGCUGACUAUGAGUACUGAAAACUCCAACCCGGCAGCGUGUAGUGCUGUGUGCCUCUCCUUAUAGAGUUAAACUCAGCCAGGCCUGCCCGAGAGAAACCCUAAACUGGCGCCACAUUCCUGCUGGAACUCUGUCACAGUCUCAGCUCAAACUGGCCUCCAGAUGGACAAGGUGAAGAGACAGAGGUCAUACCCAUGAGGAAGAGGCUCUUGGCAGACAUGGAAUCUACUGUCACCUUAUUCUUGGAUUCUUAAGCCUCGUAAACACUGGUACUCUCUCCAGACCUCCCAAAGUCCAGGGAAUAUAUGAACAAUUCUACGCACUGGCUGAAACAGACACAUACCAACGGCAGCUUUGUCAAAAGAGUAGACACUGCAACUG
ensembl:antisense Gm16365 predicted gene 16365